GACGAACGCUGGCGGCGUGCUUAACACAUGCAAGUCGAACGGUGAACCCGCUUCGGUGGGGGAUCAGUGGCGAACGGGUGAGUAACACGUGGGCAACCUGCCCCCGGCUCUGGGAUAACCCCAAGAAAUUGGGGCUAAUACCGGAUGUGACCGCUGACCGCAUGGUCUGGUGGUGGAAAGGGUUUCCGGCUGGGGAUGGGCCCGCGGCCUAUCAGCUUGUUGGUGGGGUAGUGGCCUACCAAGGCGACGACGGGUAGCCGGCCUGAGAGGGUGACCGGCCACACUGGGACUGAGACACGGCCCAGACUCCUACGGGAGGCGGCAGUUGGGGAAUAUUGCGCAAUGGGCGGAAGCCUGACGCAGCGACGCCGCGUGGGGGAUGACGGCCUUCGGGUUGUAAACCUCUUUCAGCAGGGACGAAGCGCAAGUGACGGUACCUGCAGAAGAAGCACCGGCCAACUACGUGCCAGCCGCCGCCGUAAUAC
rnacentral:rRNA from 1 species